UACGUAGGGUGCGAGCGUUGCCCGGAUUUAUUGGGCGUAAAGGGCGCGUAGGCGGCCACGCACGUCCGUUGUGAAAUCGCCCGGCUCAACUGGGCGGGGUCAGCGGAUACGGUGUGGCUCGAGCAAGCUAGGGGGCAAUGGAAUUCCCGGUGUAGUGGUGGAAUGCGUAGAUAUCUGGAGGAACACCGGUGGCGAAGGCGGCAUCCUGGACCACGACUGACGCUGAGGAGCGAAAGCCAGGGGAGCAAACGGG
rnacentral:rRNA from 1 species